UCCACCAUCACGGAGCUGCCAUCCCACUU
rnacentral:piRNA from 1 species